CCCACUUCCGCUUUCCUAAUACAUGCAGUCGAGCGAAUGGAUUGAGAGCUUGCUCUCAAGAAGUUAGCGGCGGACGGGUGAGUAACACGUGGGUAACCUGCCCAUAAGACUGGGAUAACUCCGGGAAACCGGGGCUAAUACCGGAUAAUAUUUUGAACUGCAUGGUUCGAAAUUGAAAGGCGGCUUCGGCUGUCACUUAUGGAUGGACCCGCGUCGCAUUAGCUAGUUGGUGAGGUAACGGCUCACCAAGGCAACGAUGCGUAGCCGACCUGAGAGGGUGAUCGGCCACACUGGGACUGAGACACGGCCCAGACUCCUACGGGAGGCAGCAGUAGGGAAUCUUCCGCAAUGGACGAAAGUCUGACGGAGCAACGCCGCGUGAGUGAUGAAGGCUUUCGGGUCGUAAAACUCUGUUGUUAGGGAAGAACAAGUGCUAGUUGAAUAAGCUGGCACCUUGACGGUACCUAACCAGAAAGCCACGGCUAACUACGUGCCAGCAGCCGCGGUAAUWSGUAGGUGCAAWAWUYCSGGAAUUAUUGGGCGUAAAGCGCGCGCAGGUGGUUUCUUAAGUCUGAUGUGAAAGCCCACGGCUCAACCGUGGAGGGUCAUUGGAAACUGGGAGACUUGAGUGCAGAAGAGGAAAGUGGAAUUCCAUGUGUAGCGGUGAAAUGCGUAGAGAUAUGGAGGAACACCAGUGGCGAAGGCGACUUUUCURSUUAACUGACACUGAGGCGCGWKYSUGRGGAGMAAACAGGAUUAKAUACCCUGGUAGUCCACGCCGUAAACGAUGAGUGCUAAGUGUUAGAGGGUUUCCGCCCUUUAGUGCUGAAGUUAACGCAUUAAGCACUCCGCCUGGGGAGUACGGCCGCAAGGCUGAAACUCAAAGGAAUUGACGGGGGCCCGCACAAGCGGUGGAGCAUGUGGUUUACCGCAACGCGAAGAACCUUACCAGGUCUUGACAUCCUCUGAAAACCCUAGAGAUAGGGCUUCUCCUUCGGGAGCAGAGUGACAGGUGGUGCAUGGUUGUCGUCAGCUCGUGUCGUGAGAUGUUGGGUUAAGUCCCGCAACGAGCGCAACCCUUGAUCUUAGUUGCCAUCAUUAAGUUGGGCACUCUAAGGUGACUGCCGGUGACAAACCGGAGGAAGGUGGGGAUGACGUCAAAUCAUCAUGCCCCUUAUGACCUGGGCUACACACGUGCUACAAUGGACGGUACAAAGAGCUGCAAGACCGCGAGGUGGAGCUAAUCUCAUAAAACCGUUCUCAGUUCGGAUUGUAGGCUGCAACUCGCCUACAUGAAGCUGGAAUCGCUAGUAAUCGCGGAUCAGCAUGCCGCGGUGAAUACGUUCCCGGGCCUUGUACACACCGCCCGUCACACCACGAGAGUUUGUAACACCCGAAGUCGGUGGGGUAACCUUUUGGAGCCAGCCGCUCUAAGUUUAAGCCUUUAAUUGG
rnacentral:rRNA from 1 species